rnacentral:rRNA from 1 species
AUGUGCUAUUUUACCUUGUCCAAAACUUGGAAAUAUGUGCUGUUUUACCUUGUCCAAAACUUGGAAAUAUGUGCUGUUUUACCUUGUCCAAAACAUGGCAUUGCUGAUAUUGGUACUGUUUUUCUCUUUUGCUUGUCUGCCAUGUUGGCCUUUUUAGUUAGAGGAACUCUUCUGUUCCUGGCCCAUUAUCCAAAUAUACAUAUGUUGUUGAUAAUAAUCUACCAUGAGCAAUGCAAACCAUUCAACAGUGUUUGUUUCCCACCGUUUGUCUUAUUCCUAUUUAAGCAUACAAAUCAUCAUGCAAGAUACGAGAAGUUUGUUCCGUAA